CCCAUCCUACAAACUCUGCUGCCUUGUCUGUAUCUUGGAACCCCAACAAAGCUUUGGGUCUAUACUCUGUUGCUGCUGUUCUCCACCUGACCCAAAUGGGUGCCUCCCUGCCACCUGAGACUGCCAGGCAAGCAGGGCUGCCGCUCCAGGACUUGUGAGAACAAAAUGGUGAUCUAAGUAUGUUUGGUCCAAGGGUUUGCUCACAGGAAAUCAUGAAACUGAGUCCACACUAAGAAGGCCCGAGCCUCAUCCUCACUCUUCAUUCAGGGAGCCAGACAGGCCUGAACCAGUGCUAUCUCACAGGCUGUUCCAAUUAAAGGCAGAGCCUCCAAAUUCUGGGUUACGAUGGAGAUUCCUGACAUUGCAUCGCAGGCUGUGAGUGUUUCUCUCCCCUCAAGGAAAGUAUGGCUCUUCUGAAGGCAUUCCUGAGUGAAAAUGAGCAGAAAAUGGAAAGAUCUUUCAAUACCCUAGUCUACCAGUGGCAUUAGGAUCCUAAGGAGUGCUGGGGCUGUACCUGGCUUCUGACGUGGGUUCCAGGGAAUGAAUUCAGGCCCUCCACUUGGCUACAAGUGCUUUCCUCUACUGUACCAUCGUGCCAGCUUUGGCUCUACAUUCCAGUAGGAAGAACAGCAGUAGCAGAAAAGCUGUCAGUUGGAAUCCUGCGCCAUCUGCCAAGAUGAUUUUCUCACUACUGCUGUGGAUACCCGUCUCCCGGCUGACUUGCCACUGCUGGAUCUUUAAACUUAACUGGAUCAUAUUUUUAAUUGCUAUAGUUUUGUUUGUUUGUUUUGAGGCAUAGUCUUGCAAUGUAGCCCAUGCUGGUUCUCAACUCAUGAUCCUCCUGCCUAAGCUUCCCAAUUGCUAGAACUAUAGGUGCGUAUCAGCAGACUGUAUCAUAUUUUAAAAGUUAUUUGAUCUAAUGUGCAAUUGGACUUUAAUCCAAACUGUGCUGGGUGGUGGUGGCGCAUGCCUUUAAUCCCCAGCGCUCGGGAGGCAGAGAUAGCUGGAUAUCUGUGAGUUUGAGGCCGGCCUGGUCUAUGGUACCAGAAUAGGCUCCAAAGCUACAGAGAAACCCUGUCUCGAAAACAAAAGAAUAUCCAAACUGAGAAUUUCUUUCUUUUACUAAGCGAGAUUGGUGUUUUAAUGUUCAGGUUGAUUAUUGGCAUGUUCAAACCCAUUCAUGCCAUCUUUUUGUUUUUGUGGGUUUUUUUCUCUUUUUCUCUCUUUCUUUCUUUUUUUUGGGGGGGGUGGCUGGAGAGACAGCCAUGG